GUAAUCAACAGGGAAUAUUCUUUUAAACCUUGUUCUCUUGUUUCUUUUGGUGCUGUGGCACAGCUGUUUCUAUUUAUUUCAGACAGAUUAAUCUUAAUGUUACAAAUGCCUGCAUAGUUGAUGCCCUCAGCCAGGACCUUGCAGCUUGAGAGAUGUGUCCCCAGACCCCCCUAACCCAGCUGAGGAUGGAGGGAGCAGCCUGGUACACCCCAAGUACACUUCUCCUCCCAGUUAGGAAGACAUUAUUGCUGCCAGAGUACACGCUGUCCAUUCUUUAACCAGACAAGACUGGAUAAGAAAGGUAUAUGGAUGGUUUAUACAGGCAAGACAAGGGACAAAAAUACUGGUAGGUAACAGUGAAAGUUGUAACUAAAGAAAAGAGCUGUAGAGAGAAAAAAAAUGCCAGUCUGCUUUAUCAAUUAAGAUCUCAAGCUGUUUCACCACUUCCUAGCCCAGGAAACUGGCUUCCUCCUCAGCCCCCCUCCUCCCCCCCAGCCAGGUGUGCACUGGGGCUGCCUAGUGCUGCUCCCCCAGGCAGGGAGGUGGGCCCCUGUUCCUGAUAGCCAGGAAUCUUAUGUUAAGGAUGUGGUGGUAAAAUGUCAUAAAUUGCAAUAAUUGAGGGGAACAAAGGCACUUUACUAUCACUUCAUUAGAAUUGCACUAUCCUUUCUAUGCUGAGCUUUUUUUUUUUAAAGACCAGAAAUGAUGUGACCAUUAGAUAAAGCAUCCAUCUCCAUGUAUCUGUACAGUUAAUUUAAGGGUGACACUCUUAGCCGGGUCCCAUCAGGAGGAAAAGGAUAAUACACUAUUAAAGUUGCAAUUACUGUAUUAGGCUCAAAAUGUAAAUCCAUAUACCAGCUGUUAUAAUCUAGCAAAGGAGGGGGAAGUCUGGCAAAUAGUUCUUGUGGGCUUUUAUAUAGCUGCUCAUAACAGUGAAAUUAAAUGAAUACAUGUGUAUGUGUGUACAGCUAGAUUUAUAGACUCUCUUUAAAAUGUAAGCACUUCAGGUCCCGCUGAAGUAGCAGAAAACAAGCUGGGAUUGUUCCACCUGCAUAACUGGCCUUCAGCUUCCCAGUGUUCAGAUAUACUUUGCAAUGCCAGAGGGACUCACCUACUCCUCAACCUCAACUGUUUCUUGGGGCAGGUGUGGGAAUUCAGAGGGUUGACCUUUGGAGCACUGUGAAGCAGAGAGGAAGCUAAUGCUGCAAAGAGUGUUUCCUUUGGCAAGUGCUACCCCCUUCCCUGUGCCAGGACCCCUCUGUGAACCAAAGCCUUCAGGGCACCAGUACUGGCUGCAGCACAAAGCCAUGUUUAGUAGCUGUGAUUUUUUUUUCUUAUGUAUUUUCUCUCCUUUAGAUAUUCUUGGCUAGAUCUCUAGCAACCUACUGUAGCUUUGCUACAGCUUUGCUUUGCUUGCUUCAGCAGAGAUUUGUCAAUUUGGAGUAGCUGAGGGCAUAACCUUCACUCCAGAGAGAUGAAAUGCCUUGUUCAGACACCAGUACCUUAAUGGAGCUGGGAACAGCACAUACGUGGAAUGUUCACAGUAAGAGCUUCUCUUCAUGUGCCACCUGCUACCAGAACGGUCUGGAGAUCUGCAGGAGGUGCCCUUCAGUAGCUGAAAUGGCACAGCUGCUUUUUCAGUGAUGAGAAAUAACAUUUCUGAGCUCACUGAGCACAGUCCAGGAGCACAUACGAUCGUAUUCUAGAAGGAACCAUUCUGCCUUUGGGUACCCUGUGAUUUCAUCUCCUUUACUUUUCAACUUUCCCUCUUACUGCAACUGUGCUGUUACCAGCCUUUGCUAUUUCAUAUGAAUACAGCUUGUUUCAGCUUUUCAAAGUCAUCCUGCAUGAUAUUCCUACCCUUUGCUGCACUGGUGAUGCUUCCUAAAUUUGUGACAUCAGAAAACUUUUCUAAUACAAAUGUAUAUUUUAAAGUAAUAUCACUGUAACUUCCUUCUUGCAUAUACCUCUAAUGAAAUUGUUGUACAGGAGCAGUCCAUGAAUGGUACUUUUUGUCCCUCCUUGUGUGGAAAGCUCUGUUGGUGUGGUCCUUCCUUUUCCAUCAAAGCCCGCUGUCCUGUUGCUCUGGCCUGAUCAAUGUCUACUACAUAGCUGUGCUGUGAAUUGCACAGGCUGAUUUAAAUGGUAAAUUCCCCCAUGCCACUAUUGUAAAUGCUUUGCCAAAGUCCAAAUAACUGUAAUUUUGUUUCUUCUGUUUUCCCUUUGGGGAUAAAUAGCAGAUAACUUUUGGUAAGUUCAGACUACUUCUCCCUUCCCCCCCAUAUAUUUAAAAAUUAUCCAAGCAAAAGGAUAUACAUCCGCCCCAGUAACUUUUCAUUUCCCAGUGUAGGUGUUACCUGUGGUGUUCUCCAGGAAGCCUGUGCCCCUUUAUGGUGGUAUUCAGUGUCCUGGUUGCUCAGAAGCAGGAGGGAGCUCACCCCACUGCUGGUCCAUCCAUCCACAUCUAAACACACAGCAUUUCCACUUUCUCUUCCAUUAUCCAUCCUUUAAAUAUAGUCUAUCCUUCAUUGAGUUCAGUAUUGCUCUUAUUACAGAAAACAGAAGCACCCAUUUAUAAUUGGAGCCAUGUUUGAUUCUCUCUGAUCUUUACAUCGUUCCCAUCAGUUUCAUGCUUUUCCCUCAAUCUCCUUUUAUUUAUAUAAAUUAGGAGCCAUUUAUUUUCUUUGCAAUGCUUCACUUUCAGCAUUUUCCACUGUAUUUCUGCACUUUCUGAGCUCCAAGUCAGUUUUCCUAUCUGAUGCUUCUUCCUUUCCAUGCCAUGUAAGUGCUCAGAUUGCUUGGACUUAAAGUGAUUAAGUUGGCUUUGUUUUAAAAGAGAUAUGAGGUUCUGUGGCAAGAGGCAUGUCCCAUGUGCCUUGGCCCCAUCCUUUGGUGGUAGUGGCACUGUGAGCGGGGUCAUCUCCACUCCUUGGAGUGGGACAGAGGAAACCAGAGCUUGGCAGUGCCUUAGAUUUUUGCCAGGAGAUAAAUAGGUCAAUAUAUUUCAGGACUGCACUGGCAACCUGGUAUGUCUGAUCUGUGAGUAAUAGCCAUUUUGAAGUGAUUAUUCAUCCUGUUAGAUCUGAAGCAUUUCUCUAGAAGUGCUGUUUUUCUGCCCUCCUAACUUACGUGAAGGUUUCUUUGAUGUGAAUGUCAAGUCCUCUUUAAACUGAAGUUAUUUGGUCAACUUAUUUUCACUAGUUGUUUCCUGGUGGUUCAAUAAAUAGUAGCAGAUCUAUUUUUGUUGACUCUUUGAUUUAAUUUUAUGUGAACCAGCCCAUGCUUGCUCAUUGCAGAAUUCUUGUCUGUGAUUAGUUCUUGUAAGCUUUUCUGCUUACCAAAACCAGGUCUUAAAUGCAGCUCCCUGUAUCGACUCCUUGGUGAGGAGAUCUGAUGCUCUCAUUGAGCACCUGGACCAUAAUACUGCUGGCUGCAUUUGUUCUGCACUGUAGGCAUUGGAUAUGGUAUUGCUGCGAAUGCAUUAUGGAACUAAAGAUUUUCUUGAUGUUGUUCUCCAGUUGCUCAAAGGUUCAGUAGAACCAACUUUUACUGUCCUUCCUUGGAAUUAUUCUGGCUUCAACAGAUUUGCCUUCAGCCUGUACUGCCUUGUCUUUGCUUUAUAACCUAUCACACUGUGGUGCUAUAACAUCCGUCUGCCAAGAUAAUCUUUAUUUCCAUCUUUCCUGAACUGUAUGUACCUUUCAAGGAUUUGCAGAGCACAGGUAAAUAGAGUAGCUUUCAGGACAGUGUUUUCCUUAUGCCUUUCAAGUUCUUUAUUCUGCUGUAGUGGAGACUGAGUAGCCAUUUCUCCAGCUUUUUGUAACCUUAUUUCCUGCCUUAGGCUGGCAGGGAGUAGAGGCAUGUACUUUCACACUAAUCACAUGGGGUUUCUCAUACUGAAUUUUACUGUGGGAUUCCAACAGUAAUAAUAUUUCUUUAAAAAAAAAAAAUUCAAAGGCUUGCUUUCCAAAUGUGCAAAAAGAAAAAAGCACUAAAAUCUUCCCCUGGAAACCUGUUUGUCUUGUCUGAGGAACAGGUAUUUCAGGGUCUUCAUUAGGAAUAUCUGAGCUCUGCAGGUGCCAUGCUAAUGUUUGCCUCCACUCUGGAUGACACCAGUGCUCUUAGCAUGUUCACCACCUAUCUUCCCCAUCUGAGACAACGACCUCCUUGGGUUUUCCCCAUCCUUUAUUGUAUAUUCCACUAUCCAUCUGCUAUUAAUCACUCAUAAACCUAGCCUAAUCAUGACAAAUAUGUGAAGAACUAAUUUGCUGUUCACAAGAUGAGAUGAAUUAGGUUGAAUAAUGAAGGCACUGAUGCCACUAACUUGAUUUGAUUUGUAUAUGUUUAGACACAUUUAAAGUCAAUGGAGAAGUAUUUGCAACUUGCAAGGCUCAAAUGUUUCCUGGUUAUUAUCUUCCCUUUUGUAAUAAUCAAAUUCAUUUGCAGAUAACUACAAGAAAGCAACCCAAUAACAAAAGAUUUAUACCAUGUUGGCAGUUGAAAUGGUCAUUUGAUUUCCAAUGGGAGUCUGUUGGCAGGUAGAUCCUCAGCAGUGCUCAUUUUCAGUUCUACCUAUUUAUGCAAUCUGUAUGAUUUACCAUGCCACGGAGAAGAGUCUAUUACAGCUUCUGCAAGUAAACUAGAUGCUAUGUUAGAUAGCCAAGUUUCCUAGAGCUAUUAGCCAUACAAAUACAAGAUAAAUUGUUUUCCUUGUGUUAGGAAAUCAAGGUGAGCCUGCUAAAAACAAUAACAAUAUAUCAGUAUCUUAAGUUUUCUAUUAAGCUCCGUUUGCCUGCAGCUCUUACAGCUGAAGGCAGAAUGGGUUGACCAGCUCAAGGAAGUAACACUUCCAACAUCCCAAUUCUAAAGGGUACAUGGCCGGACUGUGGAAAAGAAGCUUGUACGUUAUAAAGUAAUGUUUUCUUGAAUCAAGAACCUGAUGUCAAUCACGUUUUUCAGUUGCAGAAGCCUGUUGUUUAUUACAGAAGCACAUUUUGUACUAAUCAUCUCCUUGCGGAGAUGCCAGUGGAAGUGAUUGAGACAAAGGGGCGUAGCAUCAUCUUGAUGCUGAAGAGCUUUCAGAGGAGUAUCUCCAGGAAGUGGCAGGUGGCACCACUCAGGAGAUGACUUUGAUGGCCCCAUGUCCUCUCUGUUUCAUUACCCAGGCAGGAGGAGGGACAGGAUAUAUUAUGGAGCUAAAUUCUCACGGGCAAAUAAUAAGUCCUAGCACCUGCUGGCUGGAACCCACAGGCUGUGACCUUCUGUCUCCUCCAAUGUUUGUGUUUUCCUCUGCGGGAAAGAGCAACAUGGUAAAGAAUUCCUAUUAUUUCAAAUAUUUCACCAUGGUGUUAUCUAGCCUAGUCUAAACAAUGGUCCCGAUUGCUCUUGAGAGUUGUACUCUGCAGGAGAAAACGGUAACAAAUGUUAUUCCCAGUGUGUUCCCCCCCACCACGGGGACACAGAUAUUUGUGACAUGGAAUGGCAGUGUGCUACUGGAAGCAUCAAUCCAGAUAUGUUAGCUGAAAAAGAGGAAAAAAUUGCCUCCCUUGCCAAAUUCCAAACUGAUCCACCCAGAAGAAGAUCCAUGCUGUGAUGCUUCUGUCCUGGAUGUGCCAUUUGUUGAUGCAGGAAGUGGAUCACAUCCCAGGCUCUGGGAAUGUGCAGGAUGUGUCACUUGCCCCAUUGCCUUACAAACAAUAAAUCUCUAAAACCUCACUAAAAGCUGUAAUACUGCAAAAGCUGCAGCCAUGGCAAUUAUUUGCCUUCAUGUUCACUGACCCACUGAAGGAACCAGGCUGUGAACACCCUGACUCUAGUGGGAAAUGCCUGGACAGCCAGACCUGACCCAAAUGUCCAAACACAGCCAAACUUCAGCCUGAAUACACAUAACACAGUUAAUCCCGACUUAAUUUAUGGCAGCCUGAACCUGAAUGUGAACUCACCCACUGUGUUACCAGAGAUCCGAACCUGGAUUUGGCUCCCAAAUAGCUUGGGUCUAGGUCUUGAAAUUACCCAGUUGUUGGCUGCAGUCUGCUUUGGAGCUGGAGAUUUAUUUCUCCAGGAGGCAGGAAAACACAUUGUGUUGCCAAACUACUUCCAGUCUUUUCCAGAAUUACAAGUCAGGGGAUGGUGGGUAAGUCUUGUGAUUUUCAUCCUACAAUCUAAACCAGAUGGACUACUCUCGCAGCAUAAAUAUUUAAGCAAAGAAAAGGAAAAAAAAAAAAAAAAAAAAACUGGCAGAAAAAGUUCAGUUUCUUAAUUAAUUGCAUUAUUAUGACUUGCACUAUUUAACAGGAUGCGCAUAAAGCUGGUCUACAAGAUAGUUUGAUCACCUUCUUUGAUUCAUCUCAAUAAAAUCUGGAGUUUUUGUUUUCUCGGGGAUAAUGAAGUAACUGUAGAAUAAUAAAGUGGCUCUGCUUAUUGGAAACAGAAAGCUCUCAGCUUUCGGAAGAAAAGAUCCUCUCGGUGAAGCUCGUGCUGUAUUAAUCCAAAAAUACAAAUAAGUGGAGGUGAUCUGGAAAGCCUGUGUUACUGACAUCAGCCCAGCAUUUCUGCCACUGAAGAUCCUCUUCUCCGGCCUCAACUCAAAAAAUCUUUGUGGCAGAUUUGGCAUUGCCUGUAAUAAUUUAUGAACGUGAUGUGUUGACAUGUUUACUGUGUGCAUACAUUGAGCUACUUCAAUCGCUGCCUUGUCAGGAAGUGUACCCAGGAGAGAACAGAUGAAUCCAGGCACGCGGUUUGGAGGAAACACUGGGGAGCUGAAGCAAGCGCCCUUUGCUGUGACAUUUUGGCUGGGCCCCUGCUGGGCUCACAGGAGAGAUUUCCCUGGGAGAACAUGGGUGCCUGUGAAGGAAGGCACAGAAGGCCCUGGGGGAUUCACAGUGAACCAUUUAAAUGGAGGCUUUGGAGAGCGAGAACCCGAAAGGGGCUGAAAGCGCUCAGAUCUGCAGGUACCUAAUUCAGUACAUGUUGGCGAUAAAGGGGAUGUGGAACAUUUGUUUAACCGCCGUGCUUUAUUUCAGUGGUGAAAUGGCUCUUCUGUUUUAUAAACAUGGUUUAGGUUGCACAAGAGAGCUGGAUGCCUCUGUUCCCAGGUCCAUGUGGGAAUCAUGGUGAUUGUGCUGGGUAGGCUGGCUGGAGUUUGGCAAAGCUACCUCAGCCUGCCUGCAGGAAGGUGAGAGCUUGAGGCCUGGCAGCCUUCCCCAGACGGGAAGGCAGAAAGGCCACUGAUAGCUGAGAUCCAGCAGUAACCAUAACAAUACCAUCAUCUUUCUUAAAAGUCCCAGCACGUAAUUCUACUAAUGACUUUUAUUAAACAUUUAAGCCUUAGCCUUCAAGUGAUUCAUAUUUGUUACAAAACACCAUCCCAUUAACACAAAGUACAAGCCGAAACAAAGUUAAUGAGCCCUAAUGCUUGCCGGAUAAUACGAAGUUUGAGUGAUACUAACAAAAAUAAAAUUAGGAAGAAAUCUACUUUCAUUGUCCACCAGAGAAUUUGAGUUUUAUCCUUCUGGUUCAUAAAAACAAGUCCAUUGCUCAAGUGGCUAUUACGCUCUUAUUAAAGUUGUUCCAAAACACAUAGAUGUGCGUAAUUAAGUGCCCCUCUGUUACAAGAGGGCCUGUCUGACAGUCUACAGGGAAUGCAAGGGGCCUUAAUUCAUGACAUCAAAGAGAAUGGCAUUACCCUCAUACUUCACUAUGUUGGCUGGUGUUGGUCCCACAUGGUGCAGUGCCCAGGACACAGCACUGUCAGCUGGAGCUGGGCUCUGGGGACCUGGAGGCAACAAGAGUGUGGCCUGAAAUGUACAUUAAUAUUUGUCUUAUGGAAAUCUUCAACAGAACUUAGGUCAGGCAUCCAAAGCACUGAGGAACUACAAAAAGUCAUUACAAAAUGUCAGGAAGUGUAGACUGAGAUAUUUUUAAUUGUCUGUUUUGGCAGUCAGAUACUAACGGCAAAUGGGGAAAUGGAGUAAAAAUCACUGAUAUCUCCCUACCCUUGAAAGUACGUGAUGUUGCUCAAAGCUCUGCCAGUUUUAUCUGUGUGUCCCAGUGAAGAGACUAAACACAAGAAACAGAAAGGGGCAGC
ensembl:lncRNA